rnacentral:rRNA from 1 species
UACGAAGGGGGCUAGCGUUGCCUCGGAAUCACUGGGCGUAAAGCGCACGUAGGCGGACUCUUAAGUCGGUGGUGAAAUCCUGGAGCUCAACUCCAGAACUGCCUUCGAUACUGAGAGUCUCGAGUCCGAGAGAGGUGAGUGGAACUGCGAGUGUAGAGGUGAAAUUCGUAGAUAUUCGCAAGAACACCAGUGGCGAAGGCGGCUCACUGGCUCGGUACUGACGCUGAGGUGCGAAAGCGUGGGGAGCAAACAGGG